AAAUACAGAAGAAGCACCGGCUAACUCCGUGCCAGCAGCCGCGGUAAUACGGAGGGUGCGAGCGUUAAUCGGAAUAACUGGGCGUAAAGGGCACGCAGGCGGUUAUUUAAGUGAGGUGUGAAAGCCCUGGGCUUAACCUGGGAAUUGCAUUUCAGACUGGGUAACUAGAGUACUUUAGGGAGGGGUAGAAUUCCACGUGUAGCGGUGAAAUGCGUAGAGAUGUGGAGGAAUACCGAAGGCGAAGGCAGCCCCUUGGGAAUGUACUGA
rnacentral:rRNA from 1 species